CCAAUCGGGAGUUGUGAUGUCAUGUUUGGAUAAAAGUGUCAUGUGUUGGGGAUGUUAGUGUCCGGUUGUGAGGUUGAAGGAGCACUGGCGUUUCGUCGUGCAACUGCAUUUGAGGGUUCGGGAUCAUUUAAGGUGGGAUGGGAUCUGUAGUUGUACGUUGACCUCCACCUACCAGUACCACCCCGAUAUUGGUAGUCAUUAUACAUAGUUGGAUUAUCGAUAAAUGCUCGUCCGCUAGGAUGAACUCCACACCGUCAUCAUCCCAUAUGUCUAGUAGAGGGGACGGUUACGCAAAAUUUUCCUUAAUGGUGAUUUCAACAUCAUAUUCAUUGGGGUCUAUACCAGACGCACUGCAAAUACAAGCUAUUAAUUCGUUAUAUUUAUUGUUGUUGGAACCAAUAUCCCUUUCAACGUUCCAGAAAUGGAGUAGGUUCUAUUGUUGUUCCAUUGUCCACCAAAUCGAAUGUACAAACCUCUCAUGUAGAACAUUACUCAUUCAGCUAUAUCAAAUUUAUAUUUUGUAUUAUUGA